rnacentral:rRNA from 1 species
CGAGCACGCGUGUGUGGCAUAUCAAUAAGCGGAGGAAAAGAAACUAACAAGGAUUCCCCUAGUAACGGCGAGUGAAGCGGGAAGAGCUCAAAUUUGAAAUCUUCAAGGGUUUCCCUUGACGAAUUGUAGUUUAAAGAAGUGUUUUCUGUUAGAGAGGUGGUAAAAGUUCUUUGGAAUAGGACAUCAUAGAGGGUGAGAAUCCCGUAUUUGAUCACUUUCUACUAACGUUGUGAUACACUUUCAAAGAGUCGGAUUGUUUGGGAAUGCAGUCCAAAAUGGGUGGUAAAUUUCAUCUAAAGCUAAAUAUUGGCGAGAGACCGAUAGCGAACAAGUACCGUGAGGGAAAGAUGAAAAGAACUUUGAAAAGAGAGUUAAACAGUACGUGAAAUUGUCAAAAGGGAAGCGUUUGACACCAGUGUUGUUUUUCCGAAAAUCAAUUACGAAUGUUUUGUCUUUGAGGAGUUAUGACUUCAUCGGCUUGCUCCUUUCUUUACGAAACUUUCUUAAUGCACUUUUCGGUUAACAAGUCAACAUCAAUUUCUUUUGUUGUAAAAGAGUAUGAGGAAGGUGGCUUUCUUUUCGGAGAAAGUGUUUAUAGCCUUGUAGCUUCUGCAAUCGGAGAGAUUGAGGUCUGCAGCGUAGAUCCUUCGGGGUUAGAUACAUUUGUGCUAAGUUAUAGCUUUUCAUAGACAACUUGUUGACUAUGUUAGUCUUGUAGCUUACUCGCUUAUGCUAUUUUACCUACGCUUAGGAUGUUGAGCGCAUGUCUCUCUCU